UACGGAGGAUCCGAGCGUUAUCCGGAUUUAUUGGGUUUAAAGGGUGCGCAGGCGGGGGAUUAAGUCGGCGGUGAAAUUUUGCAGCUCAACUGUAAAAGUGCCUUCGAAACUGGUUUCCUUGAGUGUAGAUGAAGUAGGCGGAAUUUGUGGUGUAGCGGUGAAAUGCAUAGAUAUCACGAGGAACUCCGAUUGCGCAGGCAGCUUACUAAACCACUACUGACGCUCAGGCACGAAGGCGUGGGGAUCAAACAGGAUUAGAUACCCCCGUAGUCCCUGA
rnacentral:rRNA from 1 species